rnacentral:piRNA from 1 species
UGGUAGAAUUUUGGGUCAUAUAUGUAUG